rnacentral:rRNA from 1 species
AGAGUUUGAUCCUGGCUCAGAUUGAACGCUGGCGGCAUGCCUUACACAUGCAAGUCGAACGGCAGCACGGGGGCAACCCUGGUGGCGAGUGGCGAACGGGUGAGUAAUAUAUCGGAACGUGUCCUGUAGCGGGGGAUAACCUAUCGAAAGAUGGACUAAUACCGCAUACGACCUAUGGGUGAAAGCGGAGGACCGCAAGGCUUCGCACUAUAGGAGCGGCCGAUAUCGGAUUAGCUAGUUGGUGAGGUAAAAGCUCACCAAGGCGACGAUCCGUAGCUGGUCAGAGAGGACGACCAGCCACACUGGAACUGAGACACGGUCCAGACUCCUACGGGAGGCAGCAGUGGGGAAUUUUGGACAAUGGGCGCAAGCCUGAUCCAGCCAUGCCGCGUGAGUGAAGAAGGCCUUCGGGUUGUAAAGCUCUUUCGGCGGGGACGAAAUGGUUCGUGCUAAUACCACGGACUGAUGACGGUACCCGCAGAAGAAGCACCGGCUAACUACGUGCCAGCAGCCGCGGUAAUACGUAGGGUGCAGGCGUUAAUCGGAAUUACUGGGCGUAAAGCGUGCGCAGGCGGUUUGUUAUGACAGAUGUGAAAUCCCCGGGCUUAACCUGGGAACUGCGUUUGUAACUGGCAGACUGGAGUGUGGCAGAGGGGGGUGGAAUUCCAAGUGUAGCAGUGAAAUGCGUAGAUAUUUGGAGGAACACCGAUGGCGAAGGCAGCCCCCUGGGCUAACACUGACGCUCAUGCACGAAAGCGUGGGGAGCAAACAGGAUUAGAUACCCUGGUAGUCCACGCCCU